UACGUAGGGUGCGAGCGUUGUCCGGAAUUAUUGGGCGUAAAGCGCGCGCAGGCGGUUCUUUAAGUCUGGUGUUUAAACCCGAGGCUCAACUUCGGGUCGCACUGGAAACUGGGGAACUUGAGUGCAGAAGAGGAGAGUGGAAUUCCACGUGUAGCGGUGAAAUGCGUAGAUAUGUGGAGGAACACCAGUGGCGAAGGCGACUCUCUGGGCUGUAACUGACGCUGAGGCGCGAAAGCGUGGGGAGCAAACAGG
rnacentral:rRNA from 1 species